GCAGCCAUACCACCCUGAAGGUGCCUGAUCUCAUCUGAUCUUGAAAGCUAAGCUAUAGUCUAGCCUGGUUAGUACUAGGAUGGGAGACCACUUGGGAAUACCAGGUAGGCUUCU
rnacentral:rRNA from 1 species